GACCCCUGUUCUGGCUCGGUUGUUUUGUCUCCAUCUCAGACAGUGUGAUCAACCAACAGGCCAAUGAACAGCAGCUGGAAAACAAAGGGUCACCUUGCUCAGGCCAGCAGCUCCGCGUUUCUAUCACUGGUCAAGAGCAAAACAACCUCAAUAAACUUCUCCAUCAUAAACUUCUCAAGCUGCUUGUCCACUGCAAGGAGCCUGCUGACCAGGACACUCUGUUUCCAAACAGCUUCCAGGGUGAAGGCGCUGUAGCCUGCUGGCGGGGCCCGCAUCCCAUUUUCCAGGAAAAAGUAAACUUUGAAGCGCGAGAGAAAGCAAGCCCUCCCCACCCAGACAGCCUGUCACCCUGGGUCAUCCGCUCGGACAACAGGGGGUACCCGGGUUCCCAACUUAAGGCGGAAGAGGCUGUCACUAGGCCCCAACAGUCCAGCCCAGAGAGCCAGGCAGCCGCGGAGCGCGUGACAGCAGAACCGCCACCAGCUAAACCAGAUUCCACCAAAGACCAAAAAUUAUCUUCCUCAGACGCCGGCUUUGAGAGAUUCUGGAGUGAAGGCGCACAGCACCGCCAAAGCGUCACGACGCACCGUCUGGGGUAGAAUACAGAGAGAGAAUGCUCCGGAGAGCGUUUCCCGUGUUCACUGUUACAAAAUCCUAACAUCUCAUGAGACAAACAGCGAGAUUGUAUAACGUCCCCACAUCGCUUUUGAGAACUAGCAAAAAAAAAAAAAAAAAAGAG